rnacentral:rRNA from 1 species
CGUGUAGGCGGGUGCUUAAGUCAGAAGUGAAAUCCCUCGGCUCAACCGAGGAACUGCUUUUGAAACUGAGCAUCUUGAGUGCGGGAGAGGGAAGUGGAAUUCCCAGUGUAGCGGUGAAAUGCGUAGAUAUUGGGAAGAACACCGGUGGCGAAGGCGGCUUCCUGGACCGCAACUGACGCUGAUGCGCGAAAGCGUGGGGAGCAAACAGGAUUAGAUACCCUGGUAGUCC